GUCCCCGUAGCUUAGCGUUCAGCGUUUGUGUGCUUUUCUUCAGCGUAAUAUAUUUAUCCAGCGAAUUUGAUUUAAGGCAGCGAAAGACGUCGGUUCGAAUCCGACCGGGGACA